GAUGAACGCUGGCGGCGUGCUUAACACAUGCAAGUCGAACGGAAAGGCCCCAGCUUGCUGGGGUACUCGAGUGGCGAACGGGUGAGUAACACGUGGGUGAUCUGCCCUGCACUUUGGGAUAAGCUUGGGAAACUGGGUCUAAUACCGAAUAUGACCACUUCUUGGAUGUUGUGGUGGAAAGCUUUUGCGGUGUGGGAUGAGCCUGCGGCCUAUCAGCUUGUUGGUGGGGUAAUGGCCCACCAAGGCGGCGACGGGUAUCCGGCCUGAGAGGGUGUACGGACACAUUGGGACUGAGAUACGGCCCAGACUCCUACGGGAGGCAGCAGUGGGGAAUAUUGCACAAUGGGCGCAAGCCUGAUGCAGCGACGCCGCGUGGGGGAUGAAGGCCUUCGGGUUGUAAACUCCUUUCGCUAUCGACGAAGCCACUUGUGGUGACGGUAGGUAGAUAAGAAGCACCGGCUAACUACGUGCCAGCCGCCGCUGUAA
rnacentral:rRNA from 1 species